rnacentral:rRNA from 1 species
UUUGCGGUACUCUGACCGUGCAAAGGUAGCAUAAUCAUUUGUCUUAUAAUUGAAGACUGGAAUGAAUGGUUUGACAAGAAUACUUCUGUCUCUUUAUAAUUUUAUAGAACUUAAUUUUUAGGUGAAGAAGCCUAAGUAAAAUUGAAAGACAAGAAGACCCUAUCGAGCUUUAAGUAAAUUAGUAACCUAAGAAUAAUAUGAGAUAGAGAUAUAAGUUACUAAAAAAUUUUGGUUGGGGCGACAAAGGAACAUAAAAAGCUUCCUUUAUUUAGUUGUAUAUUUUCAAAUCUGGAUCCAAAUUUUUGUUGAUUAGAGAAAAUAGUUACCGUAGGGAUAACAGCAUAAUCUUUUUUGAGAGCUCAUAUUGAAAAAAAGGUUUGUGACCUCGAUGUUGGAUCAGAAUACCCUAAAGAUGCAGAAGUCUUUAAUGGUUGGUCUGUUCGACCAUUAAAAUUCUACGUGAA